CAUCUCAAAAAAAAAAAAAAAAAAAGAAAGAAACCUAUUUCAAGUUUACACUCAAAGACAAUUUAUACUAUCUGCAAAGAUUACUCUUCCUCAACAGAACACAAGCUCAGUUCUAGCAUUGCCUAAGUACAGAUGCUCUUUAACCUGUGACCGAGUUACGUCCCAAUGAAACAAUCGUAAAGUUGAAAAAUCUUAAACCAUUAUAAAUCUGGACCAUUUAUACUUGCUUUAUUCACAAGGUACCACAGUGCAGCAGGCAAAAACUGACAUUGCUGGAUCUAGCAUAAGACAUUCUGAAAUGAUGUUCAAAAUCCAACCAAGGAGAACUGUUGAAGACUCAGCACUUCAAGAACAAACAGUUUGACAUUUACAUGAGAUAAGUGUAUGCGUAUACCCACUUUAAUGAGAACUGCAAAACGAAACAGGAAACACAAUUCAUCUGGUCAUUUCUCUAACACAGAAUAACAUUUUCACUAGAAGACAGAGCAAGAAAAGGACUUAUAUUUUGAUUUAAGUUUCCACUCUUUUUUUUACUCCCAAAGACUUCUCCCUUGAUGCUACACCUCCCUCCUCUUCUUAUCAAUUUGGAACAGAAAUAAUAAUCUGCUAAUACAUACCCGGGAGCUUUUUAAAUAAAGUGAAGAUGUGGACACUCCUAUAGCUAGAAAGAUAACAAAACAGGUGUUUAAAACUGGCUCCACAAUGCAAUAUAUAAAGCAUCCAAAAAGGUAUUAUAUUUAAAUUAUGGAAUGCUUCGACCUUAAUUCAGGCACAAAAAGACUUGAAUACUUAGGGGGGAAAUAAUCUUUUCUCUUCAAAUAGAAAAAAAAAAAAGUGGUAGGGGGAGGAGGGUCUAUCCAACCACACAAGAAAUGUGAAGCUAAUUCAAAGAACUCAAAAGCAGGAAUCAUAAAGGAAACCCCCAUUCUGUGGGCAAUUCUGAGGCCAGUUUUCUCCGUAUUUAGAUUGGAUCCAAAAAAGAAGUAGUAAAGCAUAUUCCCCAUUAACUCAGCAGUCUUGCCUCACAAAUAGUGUGCAAAUUACCUUCCAAGACACUGAAAACCCUCUUCAGAGAGGAAAUACCCAAGUUGAGGAAAAGGAAAAAAAUACCCACUUAAAAAAAAAAAAAGUUUGCCUUUUAAACCCAUAUUUGUUACUCUUAAUGUGUGUCCAAUUAAGAGACAGAGAAUACAAAAUGUUUAGUGCUCUCAAUUAUGUUACAAGACAAAUAUUUUUCUAAGACACUGUAGUUCAUCUACCUUAGGGAAACAUUCAUCCAGUGUGUUCUCACUGGUCACAAGUCAUGACUAUCUCCUAAAUGUCUGUAAUAUCUGCUUCUCCUUCCACAUCCCACCACGAAUGCACUCCUUCAGGCUCGACGCCUGCCUGCCCUCUUCAAUCACACCGCUGGUAGAGAAAAACCAUUAUGCCACCUUCAUUUAACUCAGUAAAUGAUAUGAUUUGGAUCUCUGUCCCCUCCAAAUCUCACACUGAGAUGUGACUCCCAACGUUGGAGGUGGGGCCUGCUGGGAGGUGACUGGAUUGUGAGGAUGGGUCCCUCAGGAAUGGCCUAGCACCAUCCCCAUGGUGAUGAGUGAGUUCUCAUUCAGUGCACAGGAGAUCUGGUUGUUUAAGAGUCUGGGACCUCUCCCUUCUCUCUCUUACUCCUCCUCUCGCCAUGUGACACGCUGGCUCCCCUUCGUCUUCUGUCAUAAUUGUAAGUUCUUUGAGGCCCUCACGAGAAGCAGAUCCCAGCACCAAGCUUCCUAUAUAUCCUGCAGAACCAUGACCCAAUUAAACCUCUUUUCCUUAUAAGCUACACAGUCUCAAGUAUUUCUUUACAUCAAUGCAAACACUGACAAGCACGAAUGAGCCUCAUUUACUAUUUAUUUAUUUAUUUAUUUAUUUAUUUAUUUAUUUAUUUAUUUUGAGAUGGAGGCUCACUCUGUCACCAGACUGGAGUGCAGUGGCACGAUCUCGGCUCACUGCAACCUUCACCUCCCAGGUUCAAGCGAUUCUCCUCCCUCAGCCUCCAGAGUAGCUGGGACUACAGGUGUGUGCCACCACGCCCAGCUAAUUUUUGUAUUUUUAGUUGAGACAAGGUUUCACCAUGUUGGCCAGGAUGGUCUCAAUCUCUUGACCUCAUGAUCCGCCCGCCUCGGCCUCCCAAAGUGCUGGGAUUAUAGGCAUGAGCCACCGCCCCAACCCUCAUUUACUAAAGCAUAAUUUGUUCCUGGGUCUGACACAGAGUUUACCGAGAAUUUAUUACUAUACAUAAACGCUAUAAUUUCCAACAGCAAGAAAACAUAAAAUAUUAAUAAAAUUAACGAGUAACCUAAAAUAUUUGUUAAUAACACAAAAAUAAAUACAAAGUUUGGGAAAAAGUUGAUGUAUCUUUAAGGAUUAAAUAGCCUAACAUUUUCUAAGGUAUUCCCAUCCUAUUCUCCCCCAAAAUAAAGUUAUUAAAAGCAUGAAUAUAAUGAUUCCCUCAUGCAUUUUUACAGGUAAGAGAAGCUAAUCCAUAUAUUGGACUUUUUCAGAAUUACUGUUUUUGGAAACACACUCAUGCCUGUAUUCAUUAUCUUAAAUUGAGGAACUAAGAGUGAAAAUAACUAAAUUUAACUACCUUUUCAGAACAACAAAAAUAAAUAACUUCUCUAAAUUACCUAAGAGAAUUUUUCCAUCAUUUUAUCUUCAGCAGUACUAUCACUGUCUGAAUGUUUGUGUCCCCUACCCCAGCGCAAAUUCAUACAUUGAAAUUCUAACCCCAAAGGUGAUGGUAUUAGAAGGGGUGGUACUAGAAGGGGUGACUGGAUCAUGAGGGACACUAAUCCCCAUUCAUGAGGGAUUAGUGUCCUUAUAAAGGAGGCCCAAGAAGACCCCUAGGCCUUUCAGCCACGUGAGGACACAGAGAGAAACUGCCAUCUAUGAACCAGAAAGCAGGCCUUCCUCAAACACCAAAGAAGCUAGUAUCUUGAUCUUGGAUUUCCCAGCCUCCAGAACUGUAGGAAAUAGAUUUCCGUUGUUAAUAAGCCACCCGGUCUCUGGUAUUUUUGUUAUAGCAGCCCAGACAGACUAAGACAAGUAUCAGGAAAUGACUUUCCUUCAGUCUGAAUGCCUCCUGCAUGCAGGAUAGGCUCUGGGAUACAAAGAUGACUAAGCUUUGACCCUUGCCCUUGAAGAACUUAAUCCAGUCUUCCUUAAAGACACUUGUAACAUGAACUUUUCUAUUUCAGGUUGGAAGUGCAAGAACAAGAGUAAAAAAUACAGAAAGAAUAAAGCAGGAACUGAAAGACUACAAGCUGUGAAAUAGCCUGUGGCCAACCACUGAGAGAUCUUAAGAAGAACCAUGCUAAUCAAAUCAUGGGAGCAUCCUCUAAGCUACUAUUGCUUCAUCAGAUCUGUUUCAAAACCGUUAGUGUUACAUGAACCAAGAAGCUGGAAAUAAACAGAAGGCAGUUUAUCAAAGUUUAAUGAAAAAUAAGUGACCACUCUUCCAAAGUCCAGAGAAACAAUAAAACAAGAGUUGCAAUUAAUACAAUUGAGUAAACACAGCAUCAUGGGAAUUCUUUGUCUAACAGGAGAACUGAAAGAAGGUGUAAUAUCUUUCCUUUACAGGUAUAAAUCUAAACCUAACUCUGUUUUAUACUCAUUAAAAGAGGAAAAGGGAGGCUACUUUUGCAAUUUAAACCUUGGGUGGCUGAUUAACCAGGUGCCAAUAGUAUCUAAGACUACUCCUGGAGGCAAAUGUCUAAUUUAUGCCUCAAAUAAAAAAAUUACCAGUCACUCAAAUAAGCAAUCAGGGUAAUGGAUCAGUCCAUCAAAAAAGCUUCUGGCCAGGUACAGAGGCUCAUGCCUGUAAUUCCAGUGCUUUGGGAGGCUGAGACGGGGAGAAUCACUUGAGACCAGGAGUUCCAGACCAACCCCAGCAACAUAGUGAGACUCCAUAUCUACAAAAAUAAUUGUAAAAAUUAGCCGGACAUGGUGGUGCAUUCCUGUAGUUCUAGCAACUCAGGAGGGUGAGGCAGGAGGAUCGCGUGAGCCCAGGAGGUCGAGGCUGUAGCAAACCGUGACGGUGCCAACUGCACUCCAGCCCGGACAACAGAGCAAGACUGUCUCCCAAAAAAAAGCUCCUCCUGGGAGAAGAGUACCAACUGACCAAAGACAAAAUAGUACACUUGCAGCAUUUUUAAGCGUUAAAUCCAACCCUCAGACAAUCAAGAUAUAAACCAUACCAGAGAGGAGAUCCCAUUUCACUUCUAGAGUUUUUUCCACUGGCCACACUUUGUGUAGCUUGUUUUCAUGUAUAAAUGAAUACUUCUCCCUUGGAGCCCACAUUUAUGAUUAUCCAACAGGUAUCUUUAAGGGGGAAAAUGAUACAAUCUAAAAGCUGCAGAGGAGUUCCACGCAACUAAGGAUUCUAGCCAGGAAUACCUAAUAACUUCAAAAGUGACCUUUGACUACAUGAGAAGAGUACUACCACCUAUUCCUCAUGCUACUAUUUUCUGGUCACACAUACUCCCAACUCCCCACUCCCCAGCCCCACCCCCAAGAUUCCCAAUCUCCAAGCUCUUCCCAGGCCCCCAUACCCAAACUGUUCAUCCACACACACCUUUGAGACCCCAGUCUGUGUGCCAUAGAACACAGCUGGCCUCAGGCAAAACUGAAAAGUAAGCAGUAUUUGUGUUUUGAGCCCCCUCUUUUCUCCAAAUCAGGAAAAGGGAAGCGAUGGGGUGCGAAUGCCAAAUAUUUAUCUUUGUGGUAAUAACACAUGCAAAGAAAAUGUCCCAGGAUUAAAAACAUAAGCAAGUAAACUAGAAAGAUCCUGGAAGAAGAUGUGAAUGUGUCCAUUGCCUCAUUUUGCUCACUGCCCUACCUGAAGCCUGAAUCCAAAGCUGAUUGAAAAAUAAUAUACAAUAACAGGAAGCCUCCAAGGGGACCUAAGCAAACACUGGGAACUCAAGGUCCAAGGGUACACAUUGUAGGUGAAGCUCCCCUUGCUCAACACAACCCGUAGGAUACAUGGCAAAUAUGUUUUCCUGGGCUUUAGGACUCUUACUAUGCAAAAUAAGGAGCAAGAAUAUCCACUACUCCAAAAGUUUUAAUACUGUUUUCUUCAAAGAAUAGAAGGUUCAAAAGCUGUAUCCUCGGCCGGGUGUGGUGGCUCACGCCUAUAAUCCCAGCACUUUGGGAAGCUGAGGCAGAUGGAUCACUUGACAUCAGGAGUUAGAGACCAGCCUGACCAACACCCUGUCUCUACUAAAAAUACAAAAAUUAGCCGGGGGUAAUGGUGGGUGCCUGUAGUCUCAGCUACUCUGGAGGCUGAGGCAUGAGAAUCGCUUGAACUCGGGAGGCAGCAGUUGCCAUGGCACUCCAGCCUGGGCAACACAGUGAGACUGUCUCAAAAUAAUAAUAAAUAAAACUUAAAAAUAAAAAUGUGCUGUUCUUUGUUUAAAAAAAAGCUGUAUCCUCAAUAUCACAUGUGUCUGUAAGAUUAAUUUGGCAUGAUGCAGGGUACUUUAUCAACUCCUUUUUCCAGGUUUUUUUUCUACAAUGAUUAAGAAACAGCUACUACUUAUUGAAUCCCUGUCAUCUGCCAGGUAGAUAGUAACUAGAUUUUACAAGUGGGGAAACUGAGGCUUGAAGAAGACAAGCAACUUUUCCAAGGUCACAAAACUACAAAGUGACUGGAAUCCAGCCAUGUCUGACCAAAAUGUAUACUCGUCUAGUCCACACCACCACUUCUCCCCUCUACUAGGCGUGGUUUCACCAUGUCAAUUCAAUACAGAGAUAAUUCAACAAGACUGCUAAAAUAAGAGAAUGCAGUUAACUGGGUCAAAGGAACAUCCCCAAAGGCAGGACAAGUUCUCUUCUAGGAAAUAUGUGUUCCUCCCUGAAGCAGAGCCUUCUACCCCCAACUUCUUUUUCUUCAAAUUCCUACCAGUAACAAGUCUCUCAGUUAAGUAAAAUUACAGUCUCAAGAAAAAUUUUUUACCAAAUCUGCCAUGUUUCAUGCUCUCGAUAAAAUCUAAAACCAGCCACUUCUCACCUCUGACCAGAUUUUCUCUUUGGUAAACAUUUGGGCUCUCCUUAAGGGCUCACCUCCCAAUGCAUUCACAUUCCAGUGUCUGCUCAGCUUCUGUGUGUCCCGGCAACAAGAGUGACUCCUAUAGGAAUCCAUUCACAGAAGUUCUGAAAUCUAAGCCCUUUACAUCUACAAAAUGGUUUGAAUUACUUGGAAAUGCUUCUAAUUAAGAUUAUCAUAACAAAAGCCAGCAAUAAAAAGUAAUAAAGUAACACCACAGUAUGUGGAAAUUUCCUAUUAAGGGCUCAGAAGUCCAGGAAAGGACCCUCUCCGGCUCAGUUUUCUGACCCACAAGCUGCCCUCUCAAAGCACACAGGAAGAAUUAAAUUCGGCCACCUUUUUAUAUACUUUUAAGCAACUAGUUUGAGACGUUGUCCACCAUACAAUCCAGGAAAACAGAAUUUUACAGCUGGAUACUUAAGACCAUUACAAAGUUGAAAGAAGCUGUCCAGAUUUAAGACUUCAAGGCAAACACACUAAAAAUGCUCUUUUAAAAUGUAAUGCUUUUAAGAUUUUCCUUUCUAGAUUUGAGUUACUAGAGCUUUGUUAAGCAACUGUUGGAAAGCCAGGCACACUUAGAUUCUUGGUCUUGGAAGAACUACAGCUUUGAGGACAUACACACACUGACUUGUACACAUGAACAGAUUAUUCCAAUUCUUCUCUCAUUCUGCACCAAGUCCAAAUUCAAGACUGACACUAGCCUCUACAGAGAGCAAAGGAAAAAUGUGACAAAGAUUUUCCAGCCAGCCCCGCCCCUCCUCCCGCACACCCUCAGCACAUACAAGCACACAGCCGAUUCUAUGCACGUUGAAUUCGGAGCCAGUUUAUGUACCAUGACAUCAGUGCAGUAUAAUGAGCCAAGUUGAAACUCCAUCUGGGACAAAUAAUGUCCAGGCACACUGUGACUUCUUUUGUUUAUAUACAGUGACUAAAUAUGUCUUGGUGGUAAAUGAACUAACUCAAGAUUUAUUUCCCAAGGCCUCCAAAACGAUAUUCUGCACCCUGAAGCAACUCCCUGCCUCCAGUUCUUUUUCCAAGGCUAUGCAUAAGUGAUUUUUAGCAGAACACAUGAUUUUUGAAACAUAUAAUUAACAUCUUCAGGAGAGUCAAAGUCCAAGCAGUCCUUCAUCAACCUAAAACAAAGAAAACGAGGAACUCAUGAGCAACCCGGUACGGUAUCACUGCUCAUAGUAAAAAUCUGCGUGACACUUAAUUCUGUAUUCCCCUUAGAAAACAGGAAAAGUAGAAGCGAGAGAUUUAAGAAAUACCUGUGACGCGAAGUGGCCAUUUUCUUUCCUUUUGAAGGAUACACUUUGUUUCUUUUAUUCUGGCAUUACUCUGUAAACUCAGAAUGAAAAACCACCUAAUGUGUUCAAAUCUUACAAGGUUUUAAAUUUCUUUAGUCUCAAAGCUGCAUCUAGGGUGAUGCAAUUUUUUAAUGGAAAUGAAGGACGGGGUUUGGGAAGAAAAGGUAGGCAAAAGGCCCUCUCCUAACUCCAGGGUGAGACUCCCACGGGGGAGGAACCUCUACUACCUCUACUAUCUCUACCUACUACUACCGUCUACUACCCUUCUCUGGCCACCACCAUCUCUCAGCAACUGCUGACCCGGGAGGGAGCAGCCCUCCUACUGCCAAUCUCAAGAAAAGAACCAUUCCCUAAGGAAAAAAGGGAGCCGCUGCUGUGACCCGGACUGGGGCUUCGGAAGAUUUCACUCCCAGCUCCUUUUGCAAACACAAGCCUGACCUCCAGGCCUUCCGACACUACCACUGCUGCUUAGUCCUCAAUUUUCAGAAGCUGGGGAGCCAGAGGCACUGCCACCUUCUGGAGUUAAUGUGGAGAUCAUGUAAGAUAAUGAAGAGGAAUGGCCUCUAUAAAGUUUACAAUUUACUACUGUGCAAAAACCAAGUGCCAUCUCGCUCCCCAGCUGUUUACCUGAACAAGACUAAGAGAGGUGAGUCCAAGCCAGGCAGCUCCACCUUUCCCAGAAGGUAGGAUCUGAGUUUUGGAAGAGGAGAUAAGUGGGUUCAAAUUCCAGCUCUGUGAUUUGCCAGUUGCAAAUACUCAACCUUUCUCGCCUCGGGUUUUGUCUAUAAAGAUGACUGCCGCCUUACAGCGUGUGUAAUUACUGGAUGAAAUAAUGUGUGUAAGGGCUCAGCACCAGCCCCAGCACCUCGUAAGCCCUCCCCAAUAGUCACUAAUCCUUCCCUCCACCUCGGCAGGAAGAAAGAGAUAAAAAUAUCCAUUAAAAGCCACUGUUUCCAACAAUUUUAACUUAGUGUCCACAGAUAACCACUCAAGUAAAAGUUGAGAUUGGAUUGAGACUAAAAGCAUUCUAGUAAUCAGCAGGCUUCCAAAGUAGCACUUAAGUUUGAGGUAAAUGCCAAAAAUUAACACUUAGCAUUCUUUCAAAGUCCUAACUCUGACCUUUCAUACAGUUUUUAGAUUGCUAAGGUAUGGAAAUCUCUGGAAGAGUCAACCUUACAGCAUCUUUUGUCCUACAUUUCCCUCUAGGUUUAAGAGUAAUUGUUAGAAAAUGAGUCACUGUCCCCCUCCAAAGACAGCAUUCACACCUGGUGUGACACUUAUCUUUCUGCCUUGUUAAUGGAGGCUCUUUAAAGUUCCAAGAUUGGCCCAGGCGUGGUGGCUCACGCCCGAAAUCCCAGCACUUUGGGAGGCCAAGGCGGGAAGAUCACUUGAGGCUGGGACUUCGAGACCAGACUGGCCAAUGUGUUGAAACCUCAUCUCUACUAAAAAUUUAAAAAUUCACAGGGUGUGGUAGUGGGUGCCUGUAAUCCCAGCUACUUGGGAGGCUCAGGCAGGAGAAUUGCUUGAACCAGGGAGGCAGAGGUUGCAGUGAGCUGAGAUCGCGCCAUUGCACUCCAGCCUGGGCGACAGAGCAAGACUUCAUCUAGAGAGAAAAAAAAAAGUUCCAAGUGUGCAGAAGUAGUCAAUAAAAAGUAGGAGCACUCUCAUCCCGAGUAAACCACUUUAAAAAUGAGAAAGCAAGAGACCGUGGGAAGUAAGCUGGAUGUGGACACCGAUCUAUGAAAGGAUAAUGUCUCCUAACACCCAACUCCACCAUCAAUUGAUUCCCUGUGUCCUGAAAACAGACAGAUAUUAUUCAUAUAGAUAAACCUAGUAUCUGAUUUCCUAUCACAAACCCUAAGAGAAAAAUAUGGAUGCCAUUCAUUUGUAAUUCUUAUUAAUAUUUUAUAUUAUAGUUUUACAUUCAGUCAUAACUAAAGCCAUCAAGUAAAUUAUAAAGAAAUAGCCAUUCUAUAUAGAUGUUUUCCAUGUGACUUUUUUGCCAAGGUGAUAAGAGUUUAAAUGGGUUCUAAACAGAUCCAUUCUGGCAAUAUAAAACAAAAAUUAAAAAUUAGCUGCAUUACUGUGGCCUAUUUAACUACCAAACAACAUCAUUAAUUAAAGCACAUCCUUCUGUAUGUCACAGCUUCUCCCUUGAACUAGAAUGACAACUCAACACUCCAAUAUAAAGACCAAAGAAACUUCUGAGACAGUAACAUGCUCAGUGAUUAAUGUUUCUGACUACUGCUUAGAAAACACAAAAACAUUUUACCAUAUUCCAGCCUGGGUGACAAGAUGAGACCCCAACUCAAAAAAAAAAAAUUAUCAACUUCUGAUUGCAUGAAUAUAACAACAACAACAAAAGGUUUGGUUAAGGCCUGGCACAGAGGGUCACACCUGUGUAAUCCCACAUUUUGGGAGGUCUAGGCAGGACGAUGGCUUGAAACCAGGAGUUUGAGACCAGCUUGGGCAACAUAAGGGGACUAUCUCUACAAAAAAUAAAAAUAAGUAGCCAGGCCAUGCUGGUGCAUGCCUAUAGUCCCAGCUACUCAGGAGGCUGAGGUGAGAGGAUAGCUUGAGCCCAGAAGGUUGAGGCUGCAGUGAGCUGGGACUGUAUCACUGUACUACAGCCUGGGGAACAGAGUGAGUCUCAAAAACAAAACAUAUUAAUGACCCUUCCUGAAAACUAAAAGUCAUGUAACAUAAUUGGUCAAUAACACAAGUCCAUGUCCCUUCAAAUCUAAGGUGUGGCUAACAAGAACUGAUUUGCAUUUUUUUAAACAACAGAAAUGGAACCUUAGUAACAAGUUUACUGAUAUACUUUCUAGUCAACCUGCACCCAAAACUAGACCACAAUUACCUCUGGAUCUUUGCUGUCUCCACUUAACUGCCCAAUUAUUUGCAAAGCAGAAGCCCUUGGAAGGGUAAUUUGCUAAAUGCAGACUGUCCAUUUUAUUCAAAUGCUUGUCUACUAUGCUGUAAGGAGCAAGGAAGGGGCAGGAAAGAGAAGACCCAGGAAGGGAGGGCCAAAUUAUUCUUGUUCAUCAAAGUGCUGAACACACCUGCUGCUCAGGUAAAACACAUUCCCUCUCAACAGAUGAUCUGAUCUGAUGGUCACCUGUUAAGGAAAAAGGCCCAGGGCAGGGAAGAAAUACCAAUGUAGGCAUUAACACUAAAGCAGCACAUGCAUAAUGUUUCUUCUGGGGACCCACCAUGUCUAGCUUCAAGUUAUUGUAACAUUAAAGCUGACCAGAAAAUGACUAAGAGGCAUCUAGUUCUGGCCAAUGCCAAUUUAAAUGAGGGAACAAAUAUAAUCUAAAGGCAGCUAAAUCCAAGAUUACCUAGAUAAAACACUACAGCACUUCAGCAACUGGCUCCUUGGCAGGCUGUUUAUUUUUGCAUUUGGAAAUGUAGGAGAGAGAAAAAAAAAAAGAACGAGAAUGAGUAUCUGCAUUUGGAACUUGGAGAUUAAUGUUACGAAUUUUACGCAGCUUGCUUACUACUGUCAUGUUUGGAGUGUAACGCAUAUAUUUUAUAUAGUCAUAUGUUUAAAUCAAUCAUUUGGACUAAAAAAGAAAAGAGUCUGCCUACAUGAAAACGAUUAUGUGCAAACAUAUUCUGGAUGCAGAAGUGUCUCGUCUUAACACAUUCUGGAUGCAGAAGUGUCUCAUCUUUUCUUCCUGUGUUUAUAGACUACUUUUACUGUACUAUGAGAUACAUCAGUAGCUAUCACAUCACAUUCAACAUGACAAAUACACAUUUUCAAAACAAGAAAAGGAGAAAUCAGAGUUUGGAAAUCUAUCCAAUUUAAUCUUAUGUCUUUAAAAGUUAAUAUGGAAAUGCUUUAUGGCCGGGCAUAGUGGCUCACACCUGUAAUCCCAGCACUUUUGGAAGCCAUGGCAGGAGGAUCCUCUGAGCCCAGGAGUUCAAGACCAGCCUGGGCAACAUAAGGAGACCCUGUCUUAAAUACUUACAUACAUACAUACAUAAAUGCUUUAAAUAAAAAUUCCUCAUCUAGGUAAUACCAGGAAAAGUUUACCCUUAAAAACAACUCUUUCAAUAAAUACUUAAAGACUCAAUUCUUGGAAACUGUAAAAAAGAAUAUAAACACAAGUAUUUGCAUCUCUGCGCUUGGACUGCUUUUACCUUGCAUCUGUGUUUAAUGUCUCCUAACUAGACUGUAAACAGUAAAACUAAGGAAUAGGAUUGUUUCUUUUGGCCUGUCUAUGCUUUAGUGAAUGUUCCAUGCGGCACUUAUUGGGGGCCUCAAAUCCUAAAAACUAAAAGCCAAAAAACAAAACAAAACAAAAAAACCCACACGGGUCCUAACAUGUAAGAGGUAAAGUUGAAAUCCUUCUACAAAGCAACAUGAACCAGCGCCCAGCCUAAUUCAUUUUACAAGUCAUGGGGCAAGUAGAUAACUAAAAGAUUUUAAAACACAUUAUCAGUUUGAUACACAAUGCACAUGCCUGAAAAAAUUUUAAUCAUUUUUCUGUAUUUAAAAUAUGAUAUGCAUGAGCACAAGAUGCAAUUUAAAGUUUAAAAAGUUAACAAUUUCCAGAUUCCAAACCCGGAUGACCACAGAGUUCAGGCAGGCUCGGAAACUAAGUGAAGUGGACAGAGUAGGCACCGAAGAGGACAUUCCGCAUCAACAGCAAAUGGCUGCAACUUCUGUGCCAAUUGUUGCCAAGUAGGAAGGACCAGCCCAGUGUUAACAUAUCUUCUGGGUUGUUGUUGUUGUUUUUUUUUUGAGACAGAGUUUUGCUCUUGUUGCCCAGGCUGGAGUGCAAUGGCGCAAUCUCGGCUCACUGCAACCUCCGCCUCCUGGGUUCAAGCGAUUCUCCUGCCUCAGCCUCCUGAGUAGCUGGGACUACAGGCAUGCAGCAUCACGCCCGGCAAUUUGGUAGAGACGGGGUUUCACCGUGUUGGUCAGGCUGGUCUUGAACUCUAGACCUCAGGUGAUCCACCCGCCUCGGCCUCCCAAAAGUGCUGGGAUUACAGGCGUAUGUCUUCUGGUUUUUCCAAUUAAACAGAAAAAUCCAGAGUUUUAUAUAAAUCUUCCCAUUUUUAAUAUUGGUACUGAAAUCUUUUUCUUUUAAACUAAAGGUAAAAAAACAAAAACAAAAACAACACACACACCCCCCCCCAUGCCUGUAUGACAAAGGCAAUAAGCUACUUUUCAAGCCCUGAUAUAGAUGAAUUAAAUCUGUUCAUUGCCUUCAUCCUUCAUCCAUUCAAAAAGAUUUACUGAAUGUUACUUCAGAUGCCAGGCACAGCAUGAACAAGAGAGGGACAGUCCCUACCCACCCUGAGUUAACAAGGAAAUCAGACAGCCAAAAAUUGCAAUAAUUUGAAAACAAUCAUAAUGUUAAAAUCACCUUAGAUUUUAAAAUUGCCAUUAUUCUGCAGUGCAAUGCUACCAUGCCAGUAUUUUACCUUAAUCCUUCCUGUUUUAAGGGCAGCUCAAUUUCUAGCAUUUGAAGGAUACUGACUACAUCUUAUAUCUUAUUAUUAUUGCCUUUGGCUAAUUAAAUUCUGAAGUGUCUCUCAACCCAGACAGCUCAGAGCUGCCAUAAUUAUAUGUCCUAUGUUCUAAUUAUUGGGGGUGCCACAUAUAACAACACCCUCUGAUAACAUGGCAUCAACAUUUUCCUUUGUAAGACUGAGAUUCUGCAUAGGCUAUGCCUUUUUGGAAGCUUUUGUAGUGAGCAAAAUUGGCAAAACUAACUCAGAGAGAUCUGAAAAGUCAGACCACAGAUCUGGAUAAAAUCACACCUUUUUUUUAUAGUUAAAAGGAGGCCCUCAAAGCAAGGGUUGCUGCCUCCGCAGCUGGAAAAGUGGAUCUGGUUGUGGGGGGUGCUUGUGAUCUGCCCCACUGUGGAGUCAGUAAUUCUGAGCAACAGGCAUCAAGCGGACGGGUGGACCUUCGGACUGGAGAAUCAGAGGACAAAUACAUUCACUAACAAAGACACUAAGUAGCAGAAGUUCAAGCAAAGAGAUCACCGACUAUGCAGAUAAGGUUUGUUUGUAGUGCCCCUAAUAGCUCUCCACUGCAUAUGUAAUCCCUAUAAUGUAUUCUCCUUUAAUAAAACAGAAACGGAUUACUUGAUGUACAAAGUCUGGAUAGUUCUAGCCUUCACUUCAUCUUAGAUCUGAUCUGACCCAGGCUCAGCCUCCCCACAGAUACUUUUCCUAGCCUGGUCUGUUUUCCUGCCCACUUAUCCCAAUCCUCAAUUCCUCCUCUGAACUCCUAAGCACUGUGACACUCUGCAAUCCAAGCACUCUCCUGUGAUUUCACGUAUGUGUAAAUACAGCCUUUUUUUUUUUUUUUGGUAGGCCACAUUUUGCUCCUCAACUAGACUGCUCAUUCCUUUAGGGCAAGAACAGUGCCUUAUUCAUCUUUCUGUCACCAGCACCUAAUACACUGCCAGCAUAUAAGACAUUUGAUAAAUACUUAUUAAAAUGAACAAAUCUAUUAUUCAGUCACUCCUAAAUUUAGUCAUAAAUCCUAUCCUCUCAUUCUUUUUUUUUUUUUUUUUUUUUUUAAGGCAGAGUCUCACUGUGUCACCCAGGCUGGAGUGCAGUGGUUCAAUGUCGGCUCACUGCAAGCUCCGCCUCCCAGGUUCACGCCAUUCUCCUGUC
rnacentral:lncRNA from 1 species